UGCCCGAUGACGAGAGCCAUCCUUGCGCACAAAGUAUUGCCAGUCUUCGGCUGGGAAUGUGAAGAGAGCUCAGGGUCUCCCAGGCUGGACCGAGUGGGCCUUACUCUGGGAGCUGAGGGCA
rnacentral:snoRNA from 1 species